UACGUAGGGGGCUAGCGUUGUCCGGAUUUAUUGGGCGUAAAGAGCUCGUAGGUGGUUCGGUAAGUCGGAUGUGAAAUCUCCAGGCUCAACCUGGAGGGGUCAUUCGAUACUGCCGUGACUAGAGUUCGGUAGAGGAGUGUGGAAUUCCUGGUGGAGCGGUGAAAUGCGCAGAGAUCAGGAGGAACACCCGUAGCGAAGGCGGCACUCUGGGCCGAUACUGACACUGAGACGCGAAAGCGUGGGGAGCGAACAGG
rnacentral:rRNA from 1 species